UGGAGCAGAACCUGAUGGGCGUA
rnacentral:siRNA from 1 species